GGAUUAGAUACCCUGGUAGUCCACGCUGUAAACGAUGUCGACUAGCCGUUGGGUUCCUUGAGGACUGAGUGGCGUAGUUAACGCGAUAAGUCGACCGCCUGGGGAGUACGGCCGCAAGGUUAAAACUCAAAUGAAUUGACGGGGGCCCGCACAAGCGGUGGAGCAUGUGGUUUAAUUCGAAGCAACGCGAAGAACCUUACCUACUCUUGACAUCCAGAGAACUUGGCAGAGAUGCCUUGGUGUCUUCGGGAACGCAGUGACAGGUGCUGCAUGGCUGUCGUCAGCUCGUGCCG
rnacentral:rRNA from 1 species